AGAGUUUGAUCAUGGCUCAGGAUGAACGCUAGCUACAGGCUUAACACAUGCAAGUCGAGGGGCAGCAUGGUCUUAGCUUGCUAAGGCCGAUGGCGACCGGCGCACGGGUGAGUAACGCGUAUCCAACCUUCCCCUUAGUAGGGCAUAGCCCGUAGAAAUGCGGAUUAAUACCCUAUGUUGUCAGUAGAGGACAUCUGAAGUUGACCAAAGGUUCACCGCUAAGGGAUGGGGAUGCGUCCGAUUAGGCAGUCGGCGGGGUAACGGCCCACCGAGCCGUCGAUCGGUAGGGGUUCUGAGAGGAAGGUCCCCCACACUGGUACUGAGACACGGACCAGACUCCUACGGGAGGCAGCAGUGAGGAAUAUUGGUCAAUGGGCGUAAGCCUGAACCAGCCAAGUAAGCGUGCAGGACGACGGCCCUACGGGUUGUAAACUGCUUUUAUGCGGGGAUAAAGUGGGGAACGUGUUCCCUUUUGCAGGUACCGCAUGAAUAAGGACCGGCUAAUUCCGUGCCAGCCGCUGC
rnacentral:rRNA from 1 species